UGAAAAGUGGGUGUGAUAUUUUCUUCCCUAGCAUCCCACAUACCCCACCCCUAAAGUCAAAUUUCCUUAUCUUCUUUUCUGCACCAGAAAACACUCCUUGCUCAUCUUCCUUUACUUUUUCUUUUCUUCUUCCUUUGCUCUACCCGGCAGCACCUCUCUUUCACCCUCUCACCAAAAAUCAUAGACAACUCUCUCUAAGAAGAAAUUAAGAGCCUAACACUAAGGUUUCAUCUUCAAAGUGUGUGGGUGGCGAGAACGAGAACACGGACACUUGAGCUCCUCCUGUACAAUCUCUCGCGCCUUCUGUUUUUAGGUAAGGGACUUGUGACGUGUGCUUUUAAUAAGUAUAAAGAUUAUUUCGAAAACUACUAUGCAUUAAAACUUUUUUAUUAGAGAUAUUACAUAUAAGCAUGAUUUAAGUAAAAUAUAUGUUCGUGAGUUGUUCAAUCUUAUAUAUAUGAUAAUUUUAGCAUAUUAAUGCCGGUAACUAUAUCACGAACAUAAUAUUUCAGAAUGAAGUGGAUAUGCUACUAUUAUGAAAUAAUUAUGUAAAAGCAUAGUUAUCAGAAAAAUAUAGCGUUCAGGUUAUUCCAUUGUUAUGUUCUGAACUCAGCCAGUAGGGGUUAAUUAUUGGCUUUCCAUGGAAAAUGUUAUCUGUUUGGCCAUUUAAAGUAGAGGAAAUGGGGUUGCUCAUAACUCUAAUCUGAACUAGGCCUUCUCCCCAAUGUGUACGGACAGCAGAGAGGGAUAAAACCUUGAGGAGAUGUGCCAUCAGGCCUCUCAAAGAGGACAAUAUCACGCACACAAGGUCACCUAAAUGUGAUGAGGCCUUCUCUGUACAGACUUAUCAGAUAUGGACUAACCAAUAUGUUAUGAAUAGCUAUAUUAUGUUAUUGAUCACGAGAGAAUGAUUUUGUUUAAAUGCAUUAUGAAAGGUUAAAAACUCUCAUGAAAAGAAGAAGUUUAUGAUGAAGCAUUUUAUAAUCUUUUUAAAGAUAGAGUUACUGAAUUAUGUUUAUGUUCCUUGUUAUGUCAUUUUAUUAUUAUAUGAAAGGAAAAUGAAAUAUUUUCAUCUAAAGGCUUGUAAGUUAUUUUAAGAACCAUAUGAACAGUAUGAAGGCUAUUUUAUCGAAGUUGGCAUAUCCAUAAAAUAUUUGAUUUAAAUGCAUUCUUAUUAAAGGCCCAUGGAGUUUUAAAACCUUAUUGGGCUUCGCAUCUCACCUUAUUAUAUUUUAGUGCAUAGGUUCUUCCUAGAAGCAGCGAGAGUAUUAGAGGUGACAAGGAU